rnacentral:rRNA from 1 species
CCUACGGGUGGCAGCAGUGAGGAAUAUUGGUCAAUGGGCGCAAGCCUGACCCAGCAACGCCGCGUGAAGGAAGAAGGCUUUCGGGUUGUAAACUUCUUUUUACAGGGAAGAGCAGAAGACGGUACCUGUCGAAUAAGCCACGGCUACCGACGUGCCAGCAGCCGCGGUAAUACGAAGGUGGCAGGCGUUGUCCGGCUUUACUGGGUGUAAAGGGCGUGUAGCCGGGCUGACAAGUCAGGUGUGAAAUCCGGCGGCUCAACCCCCGAACUGCAAUUGAAACUGUUGGUCUUGAGUAUAGGAGAGGCAGGCGGAAUUCGUGGUGUAGCGGUGAAAUGCGUAGAUAUUAGGAGGAACACCAGUGGCGAAGGCGGCCUGCUGGACGACAACUGACGGUGAGGCGCGAAAGCGUGGGGAGCAAACAGGAUUAGAUACCCGUGUAGUC